rnacentral:rRNA from 1 species
CUACGGGGUGCACCAGUGGGGAAUAUUGGACAAUGGGGGAAACCCUGAUCCAGCAAUGCCGCGUGUGUGAAGAAGGCCUGCGGGUUGUAAAGCACUUUCGGUUGGGAGGACUGCUUCCAGCACUAAUAUUGUUGGAAGUUGACGUUACCUUCAGAAGAAGCACCGGCUGACUCCGUGCCAGCAGACCGCGGUAAUACGGGAGGGUGCAAGCGUUAAUCGGAAUUACUGGGCGUAAAGCGCGCGUAGGCGGCUAGAUCAGUCGGGUGUGAAAGCCCCGGGCUUAACCUGGGAACUGCAUCCGAUACUGUCUAGUUUGAGUACAGGAGAGGGGAGUGGAAUUCCACAUGUAGCGGUGAAAUGCGUAGAUAUGUGGAGGAACACCAAUGGCGAAGGCAGCUCUCUGGCCUGAUACUGACGCUGAGGUGCGAAAGCGUGGGGAGCAAACAGGAUUAGAUACCCUAGUAGUC